AUGGGGGACGGAAGCAAGCUGCGGCUCUGGUGCUCGGCGUUCGCCUGCGCGCUGGCGGUCCUCGAGGCGGACGGCUAUUUCGUGGACAUUACCUACGUCGACAGCGCCGUGGCCAAAGGGGCAGUAUGUCUGGACGGGAGUCCCCCUGCGUACCAUCUCGCCCGUGGCUCCGGCUCCGGGUCGAACAGCUGGUUGGUUCAUUUUGAGGGAGGAGGAUGGUGCAACAAUGUGACGACCUGCCUGCAGCGGUCGCACACCCGGUUAGGCUCCUCCAAGGAGAUGGCCAAGCAGGUUGCCUUCUCCGGGAUCUUGAGCAACACCCCGGAUUACAACCCAGACUUCUACAACUGGAACAAGGUCCGGGUCCGGUACUGCGACGGCUCGUCUUUCACUGGCGACAAGGAAGAAGUUGAUCCGAGAACAAAUCUACACUACAGAGGUGCGAGGGUAUGGCAAGCAGUUAUGGAAGAUCUGCUCGCUAAAGGAAUGAACAAAGCUGAAAAUGCUCUAAUUUCGGGAUGUUCUGCUGGUGGAUUAACUUCGAUACUGCACUGUGACAGAUUUCAUCGGCUUCUGCCGGCGGCGGCCAAUGUUAAGUGCCUUUCUGAUGCUGGCUUCUUCAUCAAUGUGAAGGACAUUGCUGGAGUAAACCAUGCUGCGGCCUUUUUCAGUGAUGUAGUUAAGACUCAUGGCUCGGCCAAGAAUUUACCAUCUUCGUGCACUUCCAAGUUGCCUGCAGGCAUGUGCCUUUUUCCUCAGAAUGAGGUGAAACAGAUUCAGACACCCCUGUUCAUCCUGAAUGCAGCAUACGAUUCAUGGCAGGUACGGAACAUUUUGGUGCCUGGAGGUUCUGAUCCUCGCUGGCGAAGCUGCAAGCACGACAUAAACCAGUGCUCGGCGAAGCAACUUAAGAUUUUACAGGGAUUCAGGGACCAUUUCCUGGAAGCAAUCGAGGCCCAAGGGGACUCACCCACCAGAGGGCUGUUCAUAAACUCGUGCUUCGCGCACUGCCAGUCCGAGAUACAGGAGAUCUGGUUCGCGCCCGGCUCGCCGGUGCUCGGAGGCAAAAGAAUAGCAAGCGCGGUUGGGGACUGGUUCUACGGCCGCAGUGGGUUUCAGAAGACGGACUGCCCUUACCCCUGUGACUCCACCUGCCAUGUCUUCAAGAACGCCUCCCACACGUAG
rnacentral:rRNA from 1 species